rnacentral:tRNA from 2 species
UCUAAUAUGGCAGAUUAGUGCAAUAACUUUAAGCGUUAUAUAUAAAGAUUACUCUUUUGUUAGAA